rnacentral:rRNA from 1 species
AUGUCGGCCGCCUACGACCGCGCAGCCGAGCUCCGCGCGCUGGACGACACCUUCGCCGGCGUGCGCGGCCUCGUCGCCUCCGGCGUCACCCGCGUCCCCCGCAUCUUCCGCGUCCCCGACGACGCCCACGAAGCGCCGCAGGAGCCCACCGGCGGCCGGCAAGAACCUGCAGCCAUCCCGGUGAUCGACCUCGGCUGCAGCAAUCGCGCGGCAGUGGUGGCCGCCGUGGGCCGGGCCGCGGCCGAGUGGGGGUUCUUCCAGGUGACGGGCCACGGCGUGCCCCUCGAGGUGGGCACCGCGGCGGUGGAGGCGGCCCGGGCGUUCCACGAGUCCCCCGGCGGCGAGGGCACCGACAAGGCGCGGCUCUACACCCGCGAGCCGGCCAGGGCCGUCAAGUACAACUGCAACUUCGACCUGCACCAGUCCAAGGUGGCCAACUGGCGCGACACCCUCUACCUCCGCGUCGAGCCCCACCCUCCCGACGCCGGCGACAUGCCGGACUCCUGCCGCCGUGACGUGUUCUUUGACUACGCCGAGCACGUGAGGGACCUACGGGACACGCUCUUUGCUCUGCUGUCCGAAGCACUUGGCCUCCACCCCAACCACCUGGCCGACAUGGGUUGCAACCAGGGCCAGAUGAUACUCUGCCACUACUACCCUCCCUGCCCGGAACCCGAGCUCGCCAUCGGCACCACCCGCCACUCCGACUCUGGCUUCCUCACGGUACUCCUCCAGGACGGCGUCGGCGGGCUCCAGGUCCUCCACGAGAACCGGUGGGUCGACGUCACGCCAACACCGGGGGCGUUCAUCAUCAAUGUGGGCGAUCUCUUACAGAUGAUCUCGAAUGACUGGUUUAGGAGCGUGGAGCACAGAGUCAUUGCGAAGAACGAUGCACCGAGGGUCUCGAUCGCAUGUUUCCCAAGCAAUCCAAGUUCGGAGAGGAUAUAUGGCCCCAUCAAGGAGCUGUUGUCAGAGAAGAAUCCGCCGUUGUACAGGGAGACACUCGCUAGGGAUUACGUCGCGCACUAUUACUCUGUCGGAUUGGGUCCCAAGAUGGCCAUCAAUGAUUUUCGUCUAUGA